AUGACCUACUCGUUAAUAUUUCGAUACAGAUAUUGUUAUACCAACAUAUUUUGAUAAUUAUUGUUUAUAAUAAUUUUAUAUUUACAAUUUACAAUGCAAAAUGAAUCUCACAAAUCUAUUGGCGGUUUCGAGUGUGUUAUGUCGACGCCCGAGGGACUACAUGAGCUGGUAGCCGAUAUAUCUAGAGAAGUUUUGAGAGAGCAACCGGAUGACAUAAAUCUUUUCAUAGCAAAGUACUUGCGUUCGCUGCUAGAUGUACGAGACUCCAUCUCAAUAGCAGCCACACUGUGUAAUGAUCUAUGUGAAUGUAAAUAUAAUAAAGCCAUAUUAGAUGAAGAGUUAGAGAAGAUCGGACUGUUUGAAGAAGAUUAUGAUGUAGCGCGGAAGAUGAUUGUGGAUUACUUUGAUAAUAAGAAAGGUAAAGAGACGACGUUAUUAAAUAAAAUGACACGAAAAUUGAGCCUUGACUCGUCCCAAAUGCAGAAAAUACACGAGGCUAUCCAAAAAAGCUUCCGUAUGGGACUGAAGAAAUGUGGACAGUUUAAAGACGUCAAAGGUACACAAAACGGCUCUCAAUGUCAAAUUAAUGCAUCUCUCAGUAGUCUCGCCGGCUCUCACGUGGUUCUACCAAAACACACACCAUAUUCUGCGCACCAAUCCCAAAAGAAUAAAACUUUAAAGGAUACAACAGGCCACAAACACUGCACUGGCAAAAAAGAUAUCGUAGAAAAUGAAAAUGGUUAUCACUUAUCAAAUGAUUAUACAAGUUGUGUCGAAAAAUUGAUUGGAAUAAAAUUUGAUGAUUGUAUAUCUGGAACCACGUCAGUACAUAAUGAUUUAGAUGACAAUGCAGAUGAUUUUAGUGUUAAUACUGAAGACAGUUAAGAAUAAAGUAUUAAAGUAAAACUUCUUAUCAAAAUUAUACGUUUGGGACAGCUUCAGAUUAUUGACAGCUAAUUAAUGACAGUAGAAGGUAGUAAUUUAUCUCUAUCUGUAGAUAGUAUAUUGGGCCGUUAGAGAAUCAAUUCUUACCUUCAUAGGUCCAUUCAGUAGUGGCCAAUAUUUUUUUGAAGAAAAAAAAAUAUUGUCAUUAAUCUACCGAUAGUCGUGUAUUGCUAACACUUACCACUUCCGCUUUCACUUGGCUUUGUCGACAUUUGAAAUAGAUAUAUUAUAACAUUUUGGUAUGGAUGAUGAGACGGGUAAAGCCAUAGAUUUCGGUACCCAUAUCCAGUUGUUUACAUAAUCUUUGUAUAAUUAUAUUAUUAUCCAGUUGUUUACAAUAUUAUAUUCUAUGUAAUAUUAUUAUAACGAUAUUGUAAUGGCAUUUUAUAUAAACUACAGUUUUGUUAUAAUAAAGUUUAUUAUACUUUA